GACACACUCCUGCAGGGGGACAUGUGCCAUAUGCCUCCUUACAGCCUGCUCUGUGUGCUGAUGGCCUUGGCUUUGUCUGGAUUUAAUGUGGCCCAGGAAGUGACUCAGGUUCAGUCAACAGCAAGCAGGCAGGAGCGGGAAGAAGUCACCCUGGACUGUUCAUAUGAGACAAGUCAGAACAUAUAUCAUCUUUUCUGGUACAAGCAGCUUCUUAGUGGAGAUAUAAUUUUCCUUAUUCGCCAAACUUCUUUUGAUUCUCAGAACCAGAGGAGUGGCCGCUAUUCUGUAGUCUUCCAGAAAUCACUCAAGUCCAUCAGCCUUGUCAUUUCAGCCUCUCAGCCAGAGGAUUCGGGGAAGUAUUUCUGUGCUCUCUGGGAAUCGACACAGUGGUAG